CCGGUUCCGUCGCGUCGCGGCGGAGACAACAGGGAAACGGGUGAGCCCGCUUGCGGGCGAUUCCCGUGCUGCCCCCGCAACUGUAAGCGGCGAGCCCCGGCGCACGAUGCCACUGGUCUGCGGACCGGGAAGGCGCGCCGGGGCGACGACCCGCCAGCCAGGAGACCUGCCGG
rnacentral:ncRNA from 1 species